rnacentral:lncRNA from 1 species
ACAAACCAAUUGCCUUUGAAAACUCCUUGAAAGCAAACAUAACCAAAUGUUUGAUUUAAUAUUAAUAAUAAAAAUAAUAAAUUUAAUUAAUAAAUAUAAAUGACAAUAAUAAUAAUAGUCAACAAUUUCUAAUCAUAAUAAUAAUAAUAAUAAUAAUAAUAAUAAUAAUAAUAAUAUCAAAAUAAAACAAUAAAGAAUAAAAAUAAAACAAAAAGAAGGGUGGGGCACGUACAAG